GGCCGCGUGAAGACAUUAAACAUAUAAUGGAAACGUGUAUGACUGCAACAAACAUGAUGAGUGGAAAGAAACAAAAUCGUCCACCGAAAUGGACUAUAUGUUCGUGUGCUAUACAAAAGGGAACCACC